CUAAUACAUGCAAGUCGAGCGAAUGGAUUGAGAGCUUGCUCUCAAGAAGUUAGCGGCGGACGGGUGAGUAACACGUGGGUAACCUGCCCAUAAGACUGGGAUAACUCCGGGAAACCGGGGCUAAUACCGGAUAACAUUUUGAACUGCAUGGUUCGAAAUUGAAAGGCGGCUUCGGCUGUCACUUAUGGAUGGACCCGCGUCGCAUUAGCUAGUUGGUGAGGUAACGGCUCACCAAGGCAACGAUGCGUAGCCGACCUGAGAGGGUGAUCGGCCACACUGGGACUGAGACACGGCCCAGACUCCUACGGGAGGCAGCAGUAGGGAAUCUUCCGCAAUGGACGAAAGUCUGACGGAGCAACGCCGCGUGAGUGAUGAAGGCUUUCGGGUCGUAAAACUCUGUUGUUAGGGAAGAACAAGUGCUAGUUGAAUAAGCUGGCACCUUGACGGUACCUAACCAGAAAGCCACGGCUAACUACGUGCCAGCAGCCGCGGUAAUACGUAGGUGGCAAGCGUUAUCCGGAAUUAUUGGGCGUAAAGCGCGCGCAGGUGGUUUCUUAAGUCUGAUGUGAAAGCCCACGG
rnacentral:rRNA from 1 species